AUUAUUGAAACAGUUAUAAAGUACGUUUGUAUUUUUUUUAUUAUUACGAAUUCUAAUGCCAAACAGUAAUAGAGCCAGUGUAUAACAACAACAACAACAACAAGCGCAUGUACAAUGUACGAUGAGAAGCUCAGACUAAAUUAUGGGAGUGUUUGUCGAUGACUUUUGUCACCUUCCAGACCUGUCAGACACUUCCUGUACUGAGUUACCUAUGCAAUAUCUCUGUAAUCUGUAUAAUAUCUGCCAGGAUAGAUAAUAAUUGUUCAACCCAGACAAAAUCGGGGCGGGCUGCUAUUUCAUAAUAUAAUCGACUUUAAAUCGACUUUAAAUUGUAAAAUCCAAGAAGCAAGAAAUAAAAGAGGAGAAGGUAAGUAAGUAAGCUCCAAACCUUCUCCUCAAAAAGAGGAGAGGAGGCCUUUAGCCCAGCAGUGGGACAUUCACAGGCUGUUACGACCAGGCAGCUUGGAGUCUGGAAGUUGGAAGUGUAUACAUUCCCGUGAAGCACGGGAAAGUACGUAAAGCCAUUGGUUCUGCGGCUGAACUCUUUCCGGUCGUUUCGGAUUUGCCGAAAUUACAUAGUCAACUAUACACGAUUAUUCCUAAAUAGAAACUGACGAACAGAACUCCAUUUUUAUGAAAUAACAGGAACAGUAUGCGGUAUGUGGGGCUAGCUGGUGUCCAAGGCACUUGUGCGCCCCGAUCGUCGGAUUACCCUAUAAAAAAACCAGCGGUACCCUUUUCGUCUUAACGAGAAGUGCCACGAGAUCGCUUGCGCAUGUUACCGUGACACAUAUCCACACCUUUUUUCUUUUUUUAUUGCUGGAAAAACGCGUUAUGCGUUUCCCACGCGGGAAUGUGAGGCUCGCCGGUUUCCAAGGCGCCGAGUGCUCCCCGAACAUUGGAAUACCCACUAAAAAACCAGCGGUACCCUUUCCGUCUUAACGAGGAACGCCACGGGAUCGCUUUCGCAUGCUACUGUGACGCUCUGACGACACAUAUCCGUUAUUAACUAACUGGUUAAGGUGUGGAUAUGUGUCGUCAGAACAUCAUCGUCAUCGUCGAAGAUUUUAGGUUGGUGGCCAACCUAAAAUCUUCAGGCUGAAAUCGCCAAAGGCGCUACUACUUAAUGAAAACACUUCUUUAAUUUUCUUUAAUAAAAUCAUGCAAAAUGAAUUAGUGACACUCCACGUGUAUUGUGUAUAAUAUAUAUUUCUUGGUGCUUAGGAUUGUUUAAUAGUUGUAAUUCCGUCAUCAUUUGAAAUCCUUUUAAUUAAAAUAACCGUUUGUGCAGAUUGUUUUCAGAAACUAGACUAAGUUAUAACAGUUAUAUGAUUAUUUUACUAAGAUUAUAUAACAUACAAUAUCUGUAGUCAUCAUUAUAUCGUAUAAAAUAAAAACAACUAUUUUGUGGACUGAUUG